rnacentral:rRNA from 1 species
UACGAAGGGGGCUAGCGUUGCUCGGAAUUACUGGGCGUAAAGGGAGCGUAGGCGGAUAGUUAAGUCAGAGGUGAAAGCCCAGGGCUCAACCUUGGAAUUGCCUUUGAUACUGGCUAUCUUGAGUAUGGGAGAGGUAAGCGGAACUCCGAGUGUAGAGGUGAAAUUCGUAGAUAUUCGGAAGAACACCAGUGGCGAAGGCGGCUUACUGGCCCAUUACUCGACGCUGAGGCUCGGAAAGCGUGGGGAGCAAACAGGG